ACGAACGCUGGCGGCAUGCUUAACACAUGCAAGUCGAACGGAAAGGCCCUGCUUUUGUGGGGUGCUCGAGUGGCGAACGGGUGAGUAACACGUGAGUAACCUGCCCUUGACUUUGGGAUAACUUCAGGAAACUGGGGCUAAUACCGGAUAGGAGCUCCUGCUGCAUGGUGGGGGUUGGAAAGUUUCGGCGGUUGGGGAUGGACUCGCGGCUUAUCAGCUUGUUGGUGGGGUAGUGGCUUACCAAGGCUUUGACGGGUAGCCGGCCUGAGAGGGUGACCGGCCACAUUGGGACUGAGAUACGGCCCAGACUCCUACGGGAGGCAGCAGUGGGGAAUAUUGCACAAUGGGCGGAAGCCUGAUGCAGCAACGCCGCGUGCGGGAUGACGGCCUUCGGGUUGUAAACCGCUUUCGCCUGUGACGAAGCGUGAGUGACGGUAAUGGGUAAAGAAGCACCGGCUAACUACGCG
rnacentral:rRNA from 1 species